AUGGCUGCCUCUGCCUUUGCUGGUGCGAUGAGAGCAGCUUCAGGAAUCUAUGGCUCCUGAAUAUUUUUGCAUCUCCAGCCCACCGAAACUGUGCCAGGAAUGCCUCUCUUAUUUCUGCAUUGUCUACUGGACGUUUUAGUCAUAUUCAGACACCAUUUGUUUCCUCCACUCCCAGGCUGAUCACAUCUGUCAGAAACCUGACAUGUGGGCAUACUGCAGUGAUCCCCAACAGAGUGGCCCCCUUGCUUCCAAGUGUCCUGAAGCUGCCAGUCAGAACUGUAAUAUACGUCAGUACACAAAAAGGCAAGAGAACAACUGUGAAAGCUGUUAUCUAUAGGUUUUUUCGACUUCAUUCUGGCCUUUGGGUGAGGAGAAAGGCUGGUUAUAAGAAAAAAUUCUGGAAAAAGACACCUGCAAGAAAAAAGCAAUUGAGGGAAUUUGUGUUCUGCAAUAAAACCCAGAGUAAACUCUUAGAUAAAAUGACAGUGUCCUUCUGGAAGAGGUGAAACUUGUAUGCUGAUAAUCCUUAUCAGAAAUAUCUUUAUGAAACAAACCUGAAAGUAUAG
rnacentral:lncRNA from 1 species